rnacentral:pre_miRNA from 1 species
UAAUUACUCCCUUCGAUCCAUAUUACUUAUCGCUCAAAUGGAUGUAUCUAGAUGUAUUUCAGUGCUAGAUACGUCCAUUUGAGCGACAAGUAAUUUGGAUCGGAGGGAAUAGUAA